rnacentral:lncRNA from 1 species
UAGUAGCCUUCAACCCGUGGCUCUAGACAUCCUGCACCCUCUUCAGAUCAACAAGUCUAUAUUGAUUUGCACUUUGCGACCAUCCUUGUGUUGUCUUAACAGCUCACAUUUAUCUAGUGAGAUUGAUAUUUGUUUUGUUUUUUAGAUCCUCACAACAAAUUUUCAUGGAAGAAUCUGGAAGCUGGAAGGAACCUCAGAGGCAAUGGAGUCCAACAUGUUGGAACAGAAGUAUCAUCUACAUCAC